rnacentral:rRNA from 1 species
CGGAGAGGGAGCCUGAGACCUUGUACGGCCACACUGGGACUGAGAUACGGCCCAGACUCCUACGGGAGGCAGCAGUGGGGAAUCUUGCGCAAUGGGCGAAAGCCUGACGCAGUGACGCCGCGUGGAGGAUGAAGGCUUUCGGGUUGUAAACUCCUGUCAGAGGAGAAGAAAGCCCGAGUAAUCGGGUUUGACGGUAUCUUCAGAGGAAGCCCCGGCUAACUACGUGCCAGCAGCCGCGGUAAUACGUAGGGGGCAAACGUUGCUCGGAAUCAUUGGGCGUAAAGGGUGUGUAGGCGGCUGAGCAAGUCAAGGAUGAAAUCCCGAGGCUCAACCUCGGAAUUGUCUUUGAAACUGUUCAGCUUGAGGAUAGUUGAGGAGAACGGAAUUCCCGGUGGAGCGGUGAAAUGCGUAGAUAUCGGGAGGAACACCGGAGGCGAAGGCGGUUCUCUGGACUAUUCCUGACGCUGAGACACGAAAGCUAGGGGAGCAAACGGGAUUAGAUACCCCGGUAGUCCUAGCCGUAAACGAUGGGCACUAGAUGUUUCUGCUUUUAUGCAGGAGUGUCGAAGCUAACGCGUUAAGUGCCCCGCCUGGGGAGUACGGUCGCAAGGCUGACACUCAAAGGAAUUGACGGGGGCCCGCACAAACGGUGGAGCAUGUGGUUAAAUUCCACGCACCGCGAAAAACCUUACCUGGGCUUG